rnacentral:misc_RNA from 1 species
GAACUGCGAUAAGUAAUGUGAAUUGCAGAAUUCAGUGAAUCAUCGAGUCUUUGAACGCACAUUGCGCCCCCUGGCAUUCCGGGGGGCAUGCCUGUCCGAGCGUCAUUGCUGCCCUUCAAGCCCGGCUUGUGUGUUGGGUCGUCGUCCCCUCCUGGGGACGGGCCCGAAAGGCAGCGGCGGCACCGCGUCCGGUCCUCGAGCGUAUGGGGCUUUGUCACCCGCUCGAUAAGGACCGGCCGGGCGCCAGCCGGCGUCUCCAACCUUUUUUUCUCAGGUUGACCUCGGAUCAGGUAGGGAUACCCGCUGAACUUAAGC